AGCUCAGUUGGUUAGAGUCCCGGCGUGCCGGGAUUAAUCAAUAGGUCCCUGGUUCGAGUCCAGGAGGGG
rnacentral:tRNA from 1 species